rnacentral:misc_RNA from 1 species
AAGUCGUAACAAGGUUUCCGUAGGUGAACCUGCGGAAGGAUCAUUAACACGUAUCCAAACGUUAAAACCCCCCCCCCGUGAACCUUCAUCCUGCUCUUGUAACCCGCGUAGUUCGCAAUCUCUGAUCAAUCAUAGCCCGAAAAGUUGUAGUGAUUCAGAGACCUCUGGCUACGUGCGAACAUAACCCCACAGUUUAAUGUGAAGGUCAAUGUAAUACAUUGGGUAAAAAAACCGAACAACUGUUAACAAUGGAUAUCUUGGUUCUC